CAGCCGCCGCGGUAACACCAGCCCCUCGAGUGGUGGGGACUAUUAUUUGGCCUAAAGCGUCCGUAGCUGGCUGUAUCCGUCUCCCGGUAAAUCCGGCGUCCUAAGCGUCGGUUCUCGGGUGAUACCAUACAGCUAGAGGGUGGGAUAGGUGAGCGGUAUUUCUGGGGUAGGGGCGAAAUCCUUUGAUCCCAGGAGGACCACCAGUGGCGAAGGCUGCUCACUAGAACACGCCUGACGGUCAGGGACGAAAGCUGGGGUAGCGAACCGGAUUAGAUACCCGGGUAGUCCCAGCUGUAAACGAUGCACGCUAGGUGUUGGGUCGGCCACGCGCCGCCCCAGUGCCGCAGGGAAGCCGUUAAGCGUGCCGCCUGGGGAGUACGGCCGCAAGGCUGAAACUUAAAGGAAUUGGCGGGGGAGCAC
rnacentral:rRNA from 1 species